rnacentral:rRNA from 1 species
AUGGCUCAGAAUGAACGUUGGCGGCGUGGAUUAGGCAUGCAAGUCGUACGCAUAGCUUCGGCUAUGAGUGGCGCAAGGGUGAGUAAUGCGAAGGUAACCAACCCUGGUGUUGGGCAUAGCCGCGGGAAACUGCGGGUAAUUCCCAGCGACGUCACGAGAUGGCAUCAUCUUGUGACCAAAGGUGUGAUUCCGCUCUAGGACGGGCCUUCGUGGUAUUAGGUAGUUGGUGAGGUAACGGCUCACCAAGCCGACGAUGCCUACCGGGUGUGAGAGCAUGACCCGGCACACUGGAACUGAGACACUGUCCAGACACCUACGGGUGGCUGCAGUCGAGAAUCUUCGGCAAUGGGCGAAAGCCUGACCGAGCGACGCCGCGUGAGGGAUUGAAGGCCUUCGGGUUGUAAACCUCUUUCGUAGAGGAGGAAGGGGCCGUGAAGAACGGUCUUUGACCUAUUCUAGGAAGAAGCUUGGGCUAAGUUCGUG